GAGGAGCCCGCGUCCCAUUAGCUAGUUGGCAGGGUAACGGCCUACCAAGGCGACGAUGGGUAGCCGGCCUGAGAGGGUGACCGGCCACACUGGAACUGAGACACGGUCCAGACUCCUACGGGAGGCAGCAGUGAGGAAUAUUGCGCAAUGGGCGAAAGCCUGACGCAGCGACGCCGCGUGGAGGAUGAAGGCCUUCGGGUCGUAAACUCCUGUCGAGGGGGACGAAAUGGCACCUUGCAAAUAACAAGGCGUCUUGACGGUACCCCUGGAGGAAGCCCCGGCUAACUCCGUGCCAGCAGCCGCGGUAAUACGGAGGGGGCCAGCGUUGCUCGGAAUCACUGGGCGUAAAGGGCUUGUAGGCGGUCUGAUAAGUCCUGUGUGAAAUCCCUUGGCUUAACCAAGGAACUGCGCCGGAUACUGUCGGACUAGAGGCCGGGAGAGGGAAGCGGAAUUCCGAGUGUAGCGGUGAAAUGCGUAGAUAUUCGGAGG
rnacentral:rRNA from 1 species